UACAGAGGGUGCGAGCGUUGUUCGGAAUUAUUGGGCGUAAAGGGCGCGUAGGCGGUUCGCUAAGUUGGAUGUGAAAACUCUGGGCUCAACCCAGAGCCUGCAUCCAAAACUGGCGGGCUAGAGUUCUGGAGGGGGUAGCGGAAUUCCUGGUGUAGCGGUGAAAUGCGUAGAUAUCAGGAGGAACACCGGUGGCGAAGGCGGCUACCUGGACAGAAACUGACGCUGAGGCGCGAAAGCUAGGGGAGCAAACAGG
rnacentral:rRNA from 1 species